rnacentral:rRNA from 1 species
UGGGACAAGCCCUGGAAACGGGGUCUAAUACCGGAUACUGAUCCUCGCAGGCAUCUGCGAGGUUCGAAAGCUCCGGCGGUGCAGGAUGAGCCCGCGGCCUAUCAGCUAGUUGGUGAGGUAACGGCUCACCAAGGCGACGACGGGUAGCCGGCCUGAGAGGGCGACCGGCCACACUGGGACUGAGACACGGCCCAGACUCCUACGGGAGGCAGCAGUGGGGAAUAUUGCACAAUGGGCGAAAGCCUGAUGCAGCGACGCCGCGUGAGGGAUGACGGCCUUCGGGUUGUAAACCUCUUUCAGCAGGGAAGAAGCGAAAGUGACGGUACCUGCAGAAGAAGCGCCGGCUAACUACGUGCCAGCAGCCGCGGUAAUACGUAGGGCGCAAGCGUUGUCCGGAAUUAUUGGGCGUAAAGAGCUCGUAGGCGGCUUGUCACGUCGGUUGUGAAAGCCCGGGGCUUAACCCCGGGUCUGCAGUCGAUACGGGCAGGCUAGAGUUCGGUAGGGGAGAUCGGAAUUCCUGGUGUAGCGGUGAAAUGCGCAGAUAUCAGGAGGAACACCGGUGGCGAAGGCGGAUCUCUGGGCCGAUACUGACGCUGAGGAGCGAAAGCGUGGGGAGCGAACAGGAUUAGAUACCCUGGUAGUCCACGCCGUAAACGGUGGGCACUAGGUGUGGGCAACAUUCCACGUUGUCCGUGCCGCAGCUAACGCAUUAAGUGCCCCGCCUGGGGAGUACGGCCGCAAGGCUAAAACUCAAAGGAAUUGACGGGGGCCCGACAAGCGGCGGAGCAUGUGGCUUAAUUCGACGCAACGCGAAGAACCUUACAAGCUGACAU